rnacentral:lncRNA from 1 species
GAAAGACGCAGAAGCAUUUUCCAAAUUGGAUUCAAAUAUCUUGCGGUUGCUGUUGCUAAAAAAAAAAAGGUGGAGGAUGCACAUUAGGAGAUCACCUUGAAGAUUUGAUGCAUUUUUGUUGGUUGCUAAAAAGAAGCACAUGAGUAGAUCACCUUGAAGAGUUGAUGCAUUUUUGUUGGUCGCUGAUUUUGUUAUCACAUUCAAAAUUUUAUGCAUUUUUAUUUGUUGAAUUGUUGAUUUUGUUUUCAGUUUCAUAA